AUUGAACGCUGGCGGCAGGCUUAACACAUGCAAGUCGAGCGAGCGGCGGACGGGUGAGUAAUGUCUGGGAAACUGCCUGAUGGAGGGGGCUAACUACUGGAAACGGUAGCUAAUACCGCAUAACAUCAGAUGUGCCCAGAGGGGAUUAGCUGGUAGGGGGGGUAAUGGCUCACCUAGGCGACGAUCCCUAGCUGGUCGGAGAGGAUGACCGGCCACACUGAAACUGAGAAACGGUCCAGACUCCUACUGUAGGCAGCAUGGGGGAAUAUUGCACAAUGGGGGCAAGCCUGAUGCAGCCAGGCCGGGGUUGUGAAGAAGUCCUUCGGUUUGUAAAGCACUUUCAGCGAGGAGGCGUUACUCGCAGAAGAAGCACCGGCUAACUCCGUGCCAGCAGCCGCGGUAAUA
rnacentral:rRNA from 1 species